rnacentral:rRNA from 1 species
AUUGAACGCUGGCGGCAGGCUUAACACAUGCAAGUCGAGCGGGGAAAGGUAGCUUGCUACCUAACCUAGCGGCGGACGGGUGAGUAAUGCUUAGGAAUCUGCCUAUUAGUGGGGGACAACAUUCCGAAAGGAAUGCUAAUACCGCAUACGCCCUACGGGGGAAAGCAGGGGAUCUUCGGACCUUGCGCUAAUAGAUGAGCCUAAGUCAGAUCAGCUAGUUGGUGGGGUAAAGGCCUACCAAGGCGACGAUCUGUAGCGGGUCUGAGAGGAUGAUCCGCCACACUGGGACUGAGACACGGCCCAGACUCCUACGGGAGGCAGCAGUGGGGAAUAUUGGACAAUGGGCGAAAGCCUGAUCCAGCCAUGCCGCGUGUGUGAAGAAGGCCUUUUGGUUGUAAAGCACUUUAAGCGAGGAAGAGGCUACUUGGAUUAAUACUCUAGGAUAGUGGACGUUACUCGCAGAAUAAGCACCGGCUAACUCUGUGCCAGCAGCCGCCGUAA